CAUUAACGAUUGUCGGGGCCCUCGGGUCCCAACUCCAACCCUAUGUUUACUUCAAACGUUUGCUUCGGUGGGACGGCGCCUCCGCCGCCGGCCCUCGGGCUGGAGAGCGCCCGCCGAUGGCGGUACCAAACUCUGUUUGCACCUGUGAAGUCUGAGUUAUUUAAGAAUAAAGCAAAACUUUCAACAACGGAUCUCUUGGUUCUGGCAUCGAUGAAGAACGCAGCAAAAUGCGAUAAGUAAUGUGAAUUGCAGAAUUCAGUGAAUCAUCGAAUCUUUGAACGCACAUGGCACCCUCUGGUAUUCCGGGGGGUACGCCUGUCCGAGCGUCAUUUCAAACCUCAAGCCUAGGCUUGCUGUUGGACCUGGUCCCGCGGGACCUGUCUGCAACCGGUCGACGGCACCGUUCGGUCCCCAGGCGUAGCAAUGUGACCGCUUAGGGGCUCGGGACGGGAGUCAGUCCAGCCAGCCCAUUCAGAAGUUUGACCUCGGAUCAGGCGGGGAUACCC
rnacentral:rRNA from 1 species